rnacentral:rRNA from 1 species
UACAGAGGGUGCGAGCGUUAAUCGGAAUUAUUGGGCGUAAAGCGCGCGCAGGCGGUCCUUUAAGUCUGAUGUGAAAGCCCACGGCUCAACCGUGGAGGGUCAUUGGAAACUGGGGGACUUGAGUACAGAAGAGAAGAGUGGAAUUCCACGUGUAGCGGUGAAAUGCGUAGAGAUGUGGAGGAACACCAGUGGCGAAGGCGACUCUUUGGUCUGUAACUGACGCUGAGGCGCGAAAGCGUGGGGAGCAAACAGG